AUGGAGGUCGAGAUCAAGCUCCGGCUCCCGACGCGGCUGCACACCGGCGCCUCUCCUCCUUCCUCGCGCCCCGCCUGCUCCGCACCGACGCCCCCGCGUGGCCCACGCCACUGUCGUCCUGCGAUCCAAGUUCCAACUGACGCAGCCGGAUCUCGUGCGAUCUCACAGCCGCCACCGCCGCUGCCGAACUCACGGUCGGAUUUCGUGCGAUCUCACAGCCGCCGCCGCCGAACUCACAGCUGGAUCUCGUGCGAUCUCGCUGCCUCCAACGUACGGAAGUCUCUACUGUAUGGGAUCGCCGCCACGGUAUGCCGCCGCGGACGUAAGAGGCUGAAGCGCGGCGGGUGGGACAGGGUGUGCGUCGUGUUGCUGGAGAACUUCCUCGAACGAACGCUGUGGUGGUGCCAUUGUCCAUUGAUCUGGACGUCGGUAGAAAAAUUGAGGGAAAUCAAAGUCAGAAGAAUUGAAAAUACUAUGCACUGUGUCUACAAAAAGUCCAAGCUGCGUAUUCCUACAUAA
rnacentral:rRNA from 1 species